rnacentral:rRNA from 1 species
AGUGAACGCUGGCGGUAGGCCUAACACAUGCAAGUCGAACGGCAGCACAGUAAGAGCUUGCUCUUACGGGUGGCGAGUGGCGGACGGGUGAGGAAUACAUCGGAAUCUACUUUUUCGUGGGGGAUAACGUAGGGAAACUUACGCUAAUACCGCAUACGACCUACGGGUGAGAUCAGGGGAUCUUCGGACCUUUCGCGAUUGAAUGAGCCGAUGUCGGAUUAGCUAGUUGGCGGGGUAAAGGCCCACCAAGGCGACGAUCCGUAGCUGGUCUGAGAGGAUGAUCAGCCACACUGGAACUGAGACACGGUCCAGACUCCUACGGGAGGCAGCAGUGGGGAAUAUUGGACAAUGGGCGCAAGCCUGAUCCAGCCAUACCGCGUGGGUGAAGAAGGCCUUCGGGUUGUAAAGCCCUUUUGUUGGGAAAGAAAAGCAGCAGGUUAAUACCCCGCUGUUCUGACGGUACCAAAAGAAUAAGCACCGGCUAACUUCGUG